rnacentral:rRNA from 1 species
AGUGAACGCUGGCGGUAGGCCUAACACAUGCAAGUCGAACGGCAGCACAGUAAGUGCUUGCUCUUACGGGUGGCGAGUGGCGGACGGGUGAGGUAUACAACGGACUCUACUUUUUCGUGGGGGUUAACGUAGGGAAACUUACGCUAAUACCGCAUACGACCUACGGGUGAAAUCAGGGGUACUUCGGACCUUGCCCGAUUGAAUGAGCCGAUGUCGGAUUAGCUAGUUGGCGGGGUAAAGGCCCACCAAGCCGACGAUCCGUAGCUGGUCUGAGAGGAUGAUCAGCCACACUAGAACUGGGACACGGUCCAGACUCCUACGGGAGGGAGCAGUGGGGAAUGGUAGACAAUGGGCGCAAGCCUGAUCCAGCCAUACCGCGUGGGUGGAGAAAGCCUUCGGGUUGGAAAGCCCUUUUGUUGGGUAAGAAAAGCAGCAGGUUAAUACCACGCUGUACUGACGGUACCCAAAGAAUAAGCACCGGCUAACUACGUG